rnacentral:rRNA from 1 species
UACGUAGGGGGCAAGCGUUGUCCGGAUUUAUUGGGCGUAAAGCGCGUGUAGGCGGAUUUUCAAGCCUGAGGUGAAAGGUUGGGGCUCAACCCCACACAGUGCCUUGGGGACUGAAAGUCUGGAGGCCGGCAGAGGAGAGUGGAAUUCCUGGUGUAGCGGGUGGAAUGCGUAGAGAUCAGGAAGAACACCCAUGGCGAAGGCAGCUCUCUGGGCCGGUACUGACGCUGAGACGCGAAAGCGUGGGAGCGAACGGG